rnacentral:rRNA from 1 species
AACGAACGCUGGCGGCAUGCCUAACACAUGCAAGUCGAACGAGACCUUCGGGUCUAGUGGCGCACGGGUGCGUAACGCGUGGGAACCUGCCCUUAGGUUCGGAAUAACUCCCCGAAAGGGGUGCUAAUACCGGAUAAUGUCUUCGGACCAAAGAUUUAUCGCCUUUGGAUGGGCCCGCGUUCGAUUAGCUAGUUGGUAGGGUAAAAGCCUACCAAGGCGACGAUCCAUAGCUGGUCUGAGAGGAUGAUCAGCCACACUGGGACUGAGACACGGCCCAGACUCCUACGGGAGGGAGCAGUGGGGAAUAUUGGACAAUGGGCGAAAGCCUGAUCCAGCAAUGCCGCGUGAGUGAUGAAGGCCUUAGGGUUGUAAAGCUCUUUUACCCGGGAUGAUAAUGACAGUACCGGGAGAAUAAGCUCCGGCUAACUCCGUG